CAGCCGCCGCGGUAAUACCGGCGGCCCGAGUGGCGGUCACUAUUAUUGGGCUUAAAACGUCCGUAGCCGGGUUGGGAAGUCCUCCGGGAAAUCUGGCCGCUUAACGGUCAGAAUGCCGGGGGAUACUCCCAGCCUAGGGAGCGGGAGAGGCCGAGGGGAUUCCCGGGGUAGGGGUGAAAUCCUAUAAUCCCGGGAGGACCACCUGUGGCGAAGGCGCUCGGCUGGAACGCGUCCGACGGGGAGGGACGAAGGCCAGGGGAGCAAACCGGAUUAGAUACCCGGGUAGUCCUGGCUGUAAACGAUGCGGACUUUGUGUCGGACAAGCUAUGAGCUUGUCCGGUGCCGGAGGGAAACCGUUAAGUCCGCCGCCUGGGGAGUACGGCCGCAAGGUUGAAACUUAAAGGAAUUGGCGGG
rnacentral:rRNA from 1 species